AUGCGAAGAGAAUAUGAUCACUCAUGGCUGUGUGUGGGGGAUUUUAAUGAAAUUCUUGAUGCAUCUGAACAGUUUGGAGGCAAUGACAGGGAAGAAUGGAAGAUGGAAGGAUUUAGAGAUACUGUUGAUUACUGUCGCUUCACUGAUUUGGGCUUCUCUGGUCUCCCAUAUACAUGGGAUAACCGACAGCAAGGACAAAACAAUGUAAAAGUUCGCCUAGAUAGAGGACUAGCUGAUGACAAGUUUUUAGAUCUAUUUGAUGACACUUCGGUGCGGCACAUUCAGACCUCUGUGUCUGAUCAUUGCACACUUGUAUUAACGACUAAUAGAUCAGCUUGGUUACGAAAAGGACGAAACAAACCGUUUCGCUUCGAGAAUGCCUGGACUCGCCACGAGAGGUAUGAACAAGUGGUGGAAGAAGGAUGGCAGCCGCAAGCUAAUGAUCUGGCCGGCGUUUAUGAUGCACUAAAUGGUGUGCGACGUAGUCUGCAGAAAUGGAGCCGGGAGGAGUUUGGUUCGGUGGAGAAACAACUUAAAAUGAUGAGAGAAAAAUUGGAAAGGCUAAGAGCAGUCUCUUUAGGAACUGGGCCAACUCUAGCUGAACGAGACCUUCUCAAACGCAUAUCGGAGUUGCUGGCCAGAGAGGAGGCUCUCAAGAAGCAACGGUCCAGGGUUUUGUGGCUGCAGGAAGGUGAUAGGAACACUGAGUUCUUCCAUGCUAAGAUGAAAGAAAGAUCACGUACAAAUAAAAUUAAGUCAUUGCGGAAGCCAGAUGGUACGGUUGCGACCGAGCAACACGAGUUGGAAGCAAUUGCUAUGAAUUUUUACAUAGAUCUGUUUACGGCACAGCAAGAGACUCAUCCGGAGCUAGCAACAGAGUUGGUUCAGUGUAAAGUUUCACAAGAAAUGAAUGAAAAGAUGUGUUCUGUUAUCACAAAUGAGGAGAUUGAAAGAGCUCUUUUCAUGAUGCAUCCAAACAAGUCCCCAGGUCCAGAUGGUUUUACAGCAGGUUUUUACAUUCACCAUUGGCAUUUUUUGAAAGAUGUUGUUUGCAAUGCUGUGCGUACUUUUCUUGAAGGCGGUGAUAUGCCGGAGGUGGUUAAUUCUACUGUUUUGGUCCUUAUUCCAAAAAUAAAAAAUCCGCAAGACCUUACACAGUAUAGGUCAAUCUCAUUGUGUAACGUGCUCUAUAAACUAGCUUCAAAAGUUCUUGCCUUGAGGCUAAGACCAGUACUGCAUCAUAUCAUCGCGGAAGAACAAACAACGUUUAUCCAAGGACGAUUGAUUUCAGACAAUGUUCUUACGGCUUAUGAGUGUAUUCACUACCUCAAGAAGAAAAAGGGCAAAUCUGGUGAUGUGACAGUUAAGUUGGACAUGGCCAAGGCAUAUGAUAGGGUGGAAUGGUCUUAUCUACAUGCGAUGAUGAACAAGUUGGGGUUUGCAGAAGCAUGGAUCGAUAGAGUUAUGGUAUGUGUGCAGUCAGUUUCUUUUUCUGUGCGCGUGAAUGGCCAAUUUUCUUCCACUUUCAGACCCACUCGAGGAUUUAGGCAGGGCGAUCCAAUAUCUCCCUACUUAUUUCUUAUUUGUGCGGAAGGAUUGAGUUGUUUGCUGAAAUUUAAAGGUCCGGUACAUCUUUCUCGAGGUGUAAGAUUUGGCGUUCAUGCUCCAUGGAUCUCACACCUACUAUUCGCCGAUGAUUGCUUGGUCUUUACACAGGCUACGGUUGAGGCUGCCACUAGGCUGCAUAACAUUUUGGAUAUCUAUAAAACAGCUUCUGGUCAGAUGGUCAACCGUAGUAAAUCAGCCAUUUUCUUUAGCGCAAACUGUACUGAUGAGACAAAGGCAAUGGUCCAUGUGAAUAUGGAGAUUGAGACGGAAGCAUUAGUUGAGAAGUACCUUGGACUACCAACCGCCAUUGGUAAAUCUUUUGAUGUACAGUUUGAGCACAUAGCAACAAAUAUUCGAAAAUUGGUGAAUGGGUGUGUUCCUAAACUCUUAAGCAGUGCGGCAAGGGAAGUUUUGAUUAAAGCGGUAUGCCAAGCUAUCCCAACUUAUUCUAUGAGCUGCUUUAGACUUUCCAAGAAACUGUGCAAGAAAUUAACCAAUAUUGUGGCCCGCUUCUUUUGGGGGGGAGAUGAUAAUAAGAGGAAAUUGCAUUGGAAGAAGUGGAAGGAUAUUGCAAUACCUAAAGGAGAAGGAGAGAUGGGUUUUAGGGAUUUCGAAUUAUUCAACCAGGCUAUGCUGGCGAAACAAGGCUGGAGGUUGCUUACAUCACCAGAUUCUCUAUGC
rnacentral:rRNA from 1 species